rnacentral:rRNA from 1 species
GAUGAACGCUAGCUACAGGCUUAACACAUGCAAGUCGAGGGGAAACGGCAUUGAGUGCUUGCACUCUUUGGACGUCGACCGGCGCACGGGUGAGUAACGCGUAUCCAACCUUCCCAUUACUGUGGGAUAACCUGCCGAAAGGCAGACUAAUACCGCAUAGUCUUCGAUGACGGCAUCAGAUUUGAAGUAAAGACUUAUCGGUAAUGGAUGGGGAUGCGUCUGAUUAGCUUGUUGGCGGGGUAACGGCCCACCAAGGCUACGAUCAGUAGGGGUUCUGAGAGGAAGGUCCCCCACAUUGGAACUGAGACACGGUCCAAACUCCUACGGGAGGCAGCAGUGAGGAAUAUUGGUCAAUGGACGGAAGUCUGAACCAGCCAAGUAGCGUGCAGGAUGACGGCCCUAGGGGUUGUAAACUGCUUUUGUAUGGGGAUAAAGUUAGGGACGUGUCCCUAUUUGCAGGUACCAUACGAAUAAGGACCGGCUAAUUCCGUG